UGCACGAUUUCUUGGUUUUUGC
rnacentral:siRNA from 1 species